rnacentral:rRNA from 1 species
GACGAACGCUGGCGGCGUGCUUAACACAUGCAAGUCGAGCGGUAAGGCCCUUUCGGGGGUACACGAGCGGCGAACGGGUGAGUAACACGUGGGUGACCUGCCUUUAGCUCUGGGAUAAGCCUGGGAAACCGGGGCUAAUACCGGAUAUGACUCCGCGGCGCAUGUUGUGGGGUGGAAAGCCUUGUGCGGCUGGAGAUGGGCCCGCGGCCUAUCAGCUUGUUGGUGGGGUGAUGGCCUACCAAGGCGACGACGGGUAGCCGGCCUGAGAGGGCGACCGGCCACACUGGGACUGAGACACGGCCCAGACUCCUACGGGAGGCAGCAGUGGGGAAUCUUGCGCAAUGGGCGAAAGCCUGACGCAGCGACGCCGCGUGAGGGAUGACGGCCU